GCUGGAUGCAAGCUUUAGAGAAAGGAAAUGACUGUAUGGUGCGAUUUUACGGAAUUCUUGCAGCUUUUUGUGUUAGUUUAACAGUUUUAAUAGUGUUGGCUGUUUAUAUCUGUAUUAAAAGGCGUCGAAAACAAAGGCAAGGCAGAAAAUGUAUCAAAGAUAACUUUAAACCUGACACAGGAAGGAUGGGUUUGAAUAAUAUAUCUGCAAAAAUUACAGAGGAUAACAAAACAUAUGAAGAGCUUGGACAAAGAACGCUACCAUCAGAAUAUGAAAUAAUCCAAAAACUCUCCUAAAACAUCAAUGUAUUUUCAUUCAUAUGCUAUGUAUAUAGUAUGCUGUAUAUUCUACUUCGAUUAUUGCUGAGAUUAAAAAAAAUG